GUCCAGGAGCCAACAGCCUCUCUGUGCAAACCAGACAACCCUGCAGGAACUGUGCUUGAAGAAACCGUGGAAACUGCCCCCAACCCUCCCGUCUCUAUUUCUUUCUCUGUUUUAUUAUCUCAUUCUUGGCUGUGAGGUAAACAGGAGAAAAUGAGAAGGUGGUUCUGGAGGACCCGACCGAAUUUGCUUUCGUGACAGGGUCAAGCGCCCUUUCCUCGCCGGCCGCAGCCCUCACCAAAGGGGAUUUGGGGGCCUCCGGACAGGGGUCCUGAAGGUUUUGAAUUGUUCAAUCUCUGGGGGUACAGGAACCCCUGCAGGAGGUUUCAAAGGCAAGAGUUUCGCAGAGAGAAAAAAACCAUGAACUUUGCAGGAAGGAACUGCUGGACCAGCAGAAUGAGGGGCCAACGCCAGGGGCAGCACUGCCCGGCCACAGAGGACUGUGGCCCCACAGAUGACACCCUCAGCUACCAGCUCCUGCAUCUGGAAGAUGACCAGGAGGAGGAAGGACGGUCUGCAAGUGUUCAAAGUGAUGUUUCCAGGCCGGGCGCGCUUGUAAUACCAGCAUUUGGGAGGCUGAGGCAGGCGGAUCACCUGAGGUCGGGAGUUCGAGACCAGCCUGACCA
rnacentral:lncRNA from 1 species